rnacentral:rRNA from 1 species
UCCAGACUCCUACGGGAGGCAGCAGUGGGGAAUAUUGGACAAUGGGGGGAACCCUGAUCCAGCGACGCCGCGUGAGUGAAGAAGUAUUUCGGUAUGUAAAGCUCUAUCAGCAGGGAAGAAAGAAAUGACGGUACCUGACUAAGAAGCCCCGGCUAACUACGUGCCAGCAGCCGCGGUAAUACGUAGGGGGCGAGCGUUAUCCGGAUUCACUGGGUGUAAAGGGAGCGUAGACGGCCAAGCAAGCCAGGGGUGAAAGCCCGGGGCCCAACCCCGGGACUGCCCUUGGAACUGCUUGGCUGGAGUGCGGGAGGGGCAGGCGGAAUUCCUGGUGUAGCGGUGAAAUGCGUAGAUAUCAGGAGGAACACCGGUGGCGAAGGCGGCCGCCUGGCCUGUUGCUGACGCUGAGGCACGAAAGCGUGGGGAGCAAAUAGGAUUAGAUACCCUAGUAAAC